rnacentral:rRNA from 1 species
UCCGAAAGGAGAGCUAAUACCGGAUACCCCACCGAACCGCAUGGUUUGGUGAGGAAAUGGAUUCCGCUUCGGGAGGGCUUCGCGGCCUAUCAGCUAGUUGGUGGGGUAACGGCCCACCAAGGCAUCGACGGGUAGCUGGUCUGAGAGGACGAUCAGCCACACUGGGACUGAGACACGGCCCAGACUCCUACGGGAGGCAGCAGUGGGGAAUCUUGCGCAAUGGGCGAAAGCCUGACGCAGCAACGCCGCGUGGGGAUGAAGGCUCUCGGGGUUGUAAACCCCUUUCAGCAGGGACGAAUCAAGACGGUACCUGCAGAAGAAGCCCCGGCUAACUACGUG